AGAGUCGAGAGUGGGAGAAGAGCGGAGCGUGUGAGCAGUACUGCGGCCUCCUCUCCUAACCUCGCUCUCGCGGCCUACCUUUACCCGCCCGCCUGCUCGGCGCCCAGAACACCUUCCACCAUGACCACCUCAGCAAGUUCCCACUUAAAUAAAGGCAUCAAGCAGGUGUACAUGUCCCUGCCUCAGGGUGAGAAAGUCCAGGCCAUGUAUAUCUGGAUCGAUGGUACUGGAGAAGGCCUGCGCUGCAAGACCCGGACUCUGGACAGUGAGCCCAAGUGUGUGGAAGAGUUGCCUGAGUGGAAUUUCGAUGGCUCUAGUACUUUACAGUCUGAGGGUUCCAACAGUGACAUGUAUCUCGUGCCUGCUGCCAUGUUUCGGGACCCCUUCCGUAAGGACCCUAACAAGCUGGUGUUAUGUGAAGUUUUCAAGUACAAUCGAAGGCCUGCAGAGACCAAUUUGAGGCACACCUGUAAACGGAUAAUGGACAUGGUCCAUAUUACUGUGGUGUGGGAGCAGACAGAGCCUAUGGCAGGGACAUCGUGGAGGCCCAUUACCGGGCCUGCUUGUAUGCUGGUGUCAAGAUUGCGGGGACUAAUGCCGAGGUCAUGCCUGCCCAGGUAAGUAUAGCUCCAAUCCAUCAAUGAAGAAGGGUAGGUAGGUGCACAUAGGACUUUUGCU
rnacentral:sRNA from 1 species